rnacentral:lncRNA from 1 species
GCAAAUUUAGUAGAAGGUUAGAAAAUGCUUUCUGCUUGGGAAAGUACAACAAUAUGCCAAGAAUGAGUGUGAAGCCCCAAGCUUUCGUGCAUCCUGGCUCCAGACUGUGAGGAACAAUUCAACCAUGUCAGGGAGGAAGUGAAUGCUCAAAGUGAUUUCUCUUUAUCUCUGCUUUUAAAAAUCUAUGGUGUCAUGCGUAUUAGAAACCUUCUGAUACACUGGGUUUAACAUAACUCUUGUAUGUGAAUAGAUGGAGUUGGUGCAAGCGGACCUUGUUUUUGAAUGAUAUGCCAGGCCUGCCUUUGGAUGGUGGAUAGUGUAAGGGGAAAGACUGGUGGCACACAUCUUUAACCAGGAGACAGUGUCAGCACGGUUAAUUCCAUCUCUUCCUCCACGGUGACUGCAUGGUCAUCACGUAUCAACAGUGCUGUGUUCUUUCAACUACUUCAGUGUGAGCAUGACUGCAGAGUUAGAAAGAAGAUGCAGUCUCGUAUUGGACACACCAGCACACUGGUGAGGCAGGAAGGAAAAAGGAGCAGCCUACAGGGAAGAAAUUAAAUUCCUUGUGACGCCAGGGUAAAUCUGCCUGGAAUACAGUUCCACUGCACAGUUCUUGGAAAGUAAUUUUGGGCAUGUAGAUUGACCAUGUCAGCUGUUUCUUGAUUACAGACUGGGAGUUUACUCUUGCCCAUGAGUUAUGUGGAGCAACCCUUCCCCUGAGAGGAGAGUGAGAAGCUGGUGUACACUUGCCCUGGACUUAGAGCAACCCUGUGGAUUGGAGCAGCCAGCGAUAUCCUGUUUGUCCACAUCUCAGAUUAGCCUGUGAUUGCACAUGGGAAGCUUCAGCUCCCUCUGGAGCCUGCAGACCCUCUCUGUGGCAGAUUUUGGCUGGCACAAGGGUGCCUACACAGGAUGGGAUCUGGGGCCACGCCAACCUGGGAAAGGAGAAUGUUUGCUGGCUGGUGUCUAUCCUGUGGACAGAUCUCAGUGUGACACAGGCAUAAUGGUUUGCUCUCUCACUUCUCACUAAUGAGCUCUUCAGAACAGUAAAAUACUUCUGGAGGGAAUCUACAUCAGGAAAGUUCUGUUCUUCCCAAGCUGGCUGCUUGAACCAGGGGAAGCAGAGACACUGACUUGACUACUGGUGGCUCCACUACAGACAUAUGCUGUAACAGUGGUGGAACACACAUCACUGCAGUAAAUUUGAAUGUGUGCAAUAUCAAACUCUCCCACUGCAGCAGUGGGGGCAUGUGAAGAAGAAGGAAGACAGAAUGAGGAAUGACAGAAUGAAACCUUUGUUCACUCCAACCAGCCACUCUGUGUCCCAGUUUAUAAUGUGUAAUAGAAGCCAUCGGUAUUGGCACAGGAGUACAGGAUGGUGGGAUUUAUCUCAUUAAUUCUUUCUUCCCUUCCCCAUAACAACGAAGAGGUGAUUAAUGUAAAGGUUUAUUCUGAUACAUUCACACCAUACUUACCAUCACAGGAUGUACCAGGAACGUUUGUGACUGCAUUUGAUCCUCUGUAUUGCAUUUUAGUCUUAGUCUGAGAUUACUGGGGAAAUUCCUUACCCACAUGUGGAUGCUCUGUGAAGGGGAGGAUGUGGUGUCCCGGUGACUGAGCCGUGUCACAGCCAACAGGCCUCACCUGGAAGCACUGUCUCCCUCCAGCCUCCAGCUACAAUAAAUUGUUCCUCUCAAGUCA